UUCGCGAUAACAAUUCCUAUCCUCCCUUUUUUAUUUUGCCUUCUGUUUAUCGUAGCUUCGCCGCCUUUCUUUUUCCCUCUGACCCGCUGCAUUGAUCAUCAAUCAGUUAUCAUCAUCUUCUCCUCCCGCUCUUCCACUCUGAUUCUCUCCUUCAAUUUCGAAUUUUUAGGGCUUUUAUUGAAUUUUAGUUUGUAGGGUUUUUCUUUCUAUACCUCGAUUAAGUCCCCUAACUUUUUCAAUAAUUUGAAUUAUUUGCUUGCCCACCGGAUUUUCAAGCAUCAAAGAUUCAGAGGCACCAAAUUCGCCUCGCCUGCGAAAGGUCCGAUUUAUCUAUUGAUUUUUUGCUGUUUCAUUUUCAUAUUGUGUGUUUUGUUCUCGUUUUCGUUACCAUUAUUUGUUCUCUCAGAUCUUUAUGAGUGCAAGUUGUUGAAGUUUUGAUUUUAGGGUUUUUGUUUUAGGAAACUUUCAUUUGCAUGUAUUGAAUUGACUAUAUUUGGAAUAAAAUUAGGGUUUUCAUUAGUUGUAAUUGAUAUUGAUUUUUCAAGUUGGGGGAUACCUUUGCCUGAUUAUAUGGCGGCGGGAAGGCAUGGGGGAUACCACGAAAAUGAAAAUAAAGAACGUGGCCAAGAUUAUAAUAUGUCCAGGCGUGAUUCAGUGUAUACCAAUGGAGAAUAUGAUAGGAUUAGGAACGUGGAUCAGAUUAGGGAUCGGGAUAUUGUGAAAAUUAGAGAUAGAGCUAGGAUUAGACAGAGGGAUAUCAAGGAAAGGGAGCUAGCUAACGGUGGUUAUGGCUCGUCUUCAAGUAGAAGUGAUUCAGGUGGAAGUGGGGGAGGUGGUGGUGGUGAAGGGGGAGGCAAAGGUGGGUCCAGGAGAGUUGGCUGUACGUCCAGGGUGGAUCGUGAGCCCGGGGAAUUGUCUAGCGAGGAUGGGUCUGAGGGUGCUAUAGAGUUAGAUUCACGGUCGGGAAAGGAUAGUGAAUUGUUGGAGAUGGAUAACUGCGCUCAGUCCACUCCCCGAGGCUUGAAGAAGAGGAAGUAUUCUCCCAUAGUAUGGGAUAGAGAUGAUAAAGAUAUAAAAGAUGCAUUGAAAAGUAAAGUUGGGGUGAGUAAUACAGCGCUACCUCCUCAACCAAUCAAGAAAUUGUAUCGGCAGUCCUCACCUGUCACAAUUCCUGCAGAAAAUGAGGUGGCAUCUUUUUUCAAAAGUGACAAACCCCCAGAAGAAACGGAAAUAUCUCCUGUUAACCCUUUGAAUCGUGAUCAGUUAGACAAUGUUGUCUCGGGGUCAAUUGAGGAACAUGAUUAUUCAACGUCUCAGGAGCGACAGUGGGAGAAUGGUAAGGAGAUAGAGCACAUAGAUGAUGAGGAUUAUAUCCCUACUAGGCACAUUUUAUCAUCAAGGUGGGCUGGUGAUUCUAACUCUCCUGCUGAUGAAGGUGAAAUAGAUAAUGAUGAGUUCAUGAGGAAAAGGAGAAAGAAGAUGCAUUCUUUUGCGUUCUUAGAUACUAGAAGGAGCAAGAAGUCAUCUAGUCCAGAACGUGGAGAUGCCACUAGAGAGGUUUCUAAUUUAGUUAAGGGAAGAUCUUUAAAUUCUGAUGGAAGCAUGUGUAGUACUCCUGCCAAUGGAAAUCAUGUUCUUCAUAUUGAUCAGGAUAAGGAGUAUCAUAUGGAGGUAGAUGAUAGAUACGAUGACACUGAUUCUAGCCUUAGCCCCAGAAGAUCUGAUUUAGAAGAUGAAGAUUAUUUUCGUGGAACACCUGAACCGCAAGCAGCUCCCAAGAGAGUAGUGAAUAUGCUUCAGGGUUGUAGAAGUGUGGAUGAGUUUGAAAGACUAAAUAAGAUAGAUGAAGGAACUUAUGGUGUAGUUUACAGAGCCAGAGAUAAGAAGACAAAUGACAUUGUAGCUUUGAAAAAGGUAAAGAUGGAAAAGGAAAGAGAGGGCUUUCCAUUGACUGCUUUAAGGGAAAUUAACAUUCUUUUAUCAUUGCAUCAUCCAUCCAUUGUUGAUGUCAAGGAAGUAGUUGUUGGAAGCAACCUUGAUAGUAUCUUUAUGGUGAUGGAAUACAUGGAGCACGAUCUUAAAGCUCUCAUGGAGACCAUGAAGCAGCCAUUUAGUCAGAGUGAAGUUAAAUGCCUCAUGCUUCAGUUAUUAGAUGGUGUCAAGUGCCUUCAUGAUAAUUGGGUUCUUCAUCGUGAUUUAAAGACGUCAAAUUUACUUAUGAACAACCAGGGGGAGCUGAAGAUAUGCGACUUUGGUUUGGCUCGACAAUAUGGGAGUCCUUUGAAGCCAUACACUCAAUUGGUUGUUACACUGUGGUACAGAGCUCCUGAGCUUCUUUUGGGGGCAAAAGAGUAUUCCACUGCCAUUGAUAUGUGGUCACUUGGUUGCAUCAUGGCGGAGCUCUUGUCCAAAGAUCCACUGUUUAAUGGCAAAUCCGAAAUUGAACAGCUUGAUAAGAUAUUCAGGAUUCUUGGCACUCCAAAUGAAACAAUCUGGCCUGGUUUUUCUAAGUUGCCUAAAGUGAAGUAUAAUUUUGUGAAACACCAGUAUAAUCAGUUGCGUAAAAAGUUUCCAGCAACAUCCUUUACGGGAUCCCCGGUCCUCUCAGAUGCUGGAUUUGAUCUAUUGAACAGACUAUUAACUUAUGAUCCUGAAAAGCGUUAUACAGUUGAUGCUGCUCUUAAGCAUGAUUGGUUUCGUGAAGUUCCUCUUCCCAAGUCAAAGGAAUUCAUGCCUACAUUUCCUGCUCAUCAUGCACAAGACAGGCGCUUGCGUAGGGUUCAUAAGAGCCCUGAUCCUUUGGAAGAGCAGCGCAGGAAAGAGUUGCAGCAACCAGAAUUGGGGACUGGAGGCUUGUUUGGCUAAGAGCCUAUGUCUGAGUGAAGAUUGUGUUUUAUGCUGCACGAGUUUUGUCAAUGCCAACAGAUGAACAUGCAUGAGGUUAGAGAGAUGGAUUCAAAACAACUUGCAAACAAUGGGUUGUGAGACCGUCAUUCAUGCUGUUUUUUAGCAGGCACAUCUGAUGAAGUUAGUUGAGGAUUAUAUUUUUGCCUAUGCCAUCAGAUCUGUAGCAGUCAAAUUUAUUUUCCAGCUUUGGUGAUAGGAUUGCAUCAUAACAGUACUUGAUUCAGAAGAAGAUGCCAUUUUUGUUUUCCAAUUCAAAGACUGUUUCAAUUCUUUGUCUUGUACUUCACGGAAAUGUUAUUGAAAGUUCCUGAUCAGCCAUGUACUAAAGCUAGCAGCUUGAGGAGGCUGAUUUUUCAGUUUUAAUGGUUCUCAAAAUCUGUUGCUUGAGCUUGGUAGAGAGGCUUAAUUGAACAGAUGAGUGAAAAAUCCUACUUCAUAUCAGAAGCAGAUAGUUGAGUUCUUAUUGGCAUUAGCAAAGGAAAAAGAUUUCCAUUGUAGGGAUAUCAACUAUUCAUUUUUGUUGAAGCUUAAUUUUCUUAGAAUAAAAGUUCCAUUCUCACAGUGUUGCUUGUUAAGCAGGAUAACUUGCACCCGGGUGCCCUGAACAGGUACGUGCAUCCAAGUAUAAGUUUAGUUGAUUUAUCAUUUUAUACAAAGAUGUUGAUCAGAAUGACCAUGAUUUCUGACCCAUUGGAAUGCUUUUUCCUUGGAAGGUAAGUACCAAGCUGAGCUUUUUCUGUCAUGAAUACUAAUUCUGUGCAUUACCCUCUCUUUAAAAAGAGAAAGACCACAUUUUGUGAUUGAAUAUAUGUCGUGUGAUGCAUCUCUGCCAUCCGAGCUCGUUUAAACUUCUCCUUUCAUAGGCUCGUGUAGAAUAAUACGUAGUUACCUUUCCUUUCAAAGAGAGGGUAAUGCACAGAAUCUGUGUUCAUUACAGUAUAAGCUCAGCAUUAAUUGUGGACAUGUUAUAACAAAAUCUCUGCCAUCCGAGAUUUUAUCUUUUGUUUAAACAAUAUCUUGUUCAUUGCACAAAGAAAAUGAGAUGAGAAGUUACCUCUCCUUUUAAAUAAAAUAUUAAGCAGGAGAAAUAACUCGUCGUUAUCUCUGCCAUCCGAGCUCGCUUAUGUAAUUGCCUUGGCGUAGUUUAAGAGGAAUAUGGAUCAUAUGUUGUAACAAAUUCAGCAUUAACCAACCAUAAUAUACAAAGAUAUUGUUGUUAAUGUACAAGUUGGUAAAAUGGGCACAUUAUUCAUUGAUUAAUUCUUUACAAUGAUUUUCAACAUAUGUCCUAUUCUUUAUAGCUAUCAUUUGUUGUUUGGUGAUAUUUCAACCAUUUUUCUACUAUUCUUGUCGUGAAUAAUUUGUUGUUAAGUUUUCCACUAUUACAAAUUACAAAUUACAAAUAUGAAUAACAUUGGAUUCAUUUGCAAGUCACGAACAAUGGAUCAGUGUAAGGUGACAAACAUAAAGUUAGUAUUGAAUCCCAUACAAUCUGCAACAAAAUUUCUCAAUAAGCUUUCAUAUGGAGAACUUUAAUAUUGUUAGCUCUAUGGAAUCCCAUACAAUUCUAUUUUAUAUGCUAUUUCUCUCAUGUCUUCUUAUGGAUGAAAGAAAAUGGGAAAAUAUUUGGAGGGAUCAGAUCAAAAAUAUUUGUUUAGGUUUCAAUCUCUCCAAAGUUAAAAAAAUAUUUGGAGUAAAGCUUUAAUUUCAACUCUCUGAAUACAUUCUUAACACUUUGCAAUAUUGUGCAAUUCAAGCUGUCUUGCAUAUUAUAUAUUUAUAGGGUAUUGUAGAGAGCUUCAAAUUUGGAAUUUUAAAAACAAAUUCAUAAUUUUUUAUAUAUAUAAUACCUAGUUUAAAUUUUAACAACAAAUCAUGAAGUAACAAUAAAUGUUCUAAAAUAUUUGUUACUAAAAAUCUUUUCAACAAGGACAUCCUCAAUUUAAAAUAUAUAUAUGAUGUAAGUAUUUAAGGCUCUUUAAUUGAAGAUUCUUAGUGUGAAGCAACUGUUUACUUUACACAUGUCUAUUGUGCAAUUAAAGUCAUCUUGAAUAUUAUGUAUUUAUGUGGUGAUGUGAAGGACUUAUAAUAUAGAUCAGAUGAAAUUUUAAAAAUAAAUUCAUGAUUUAAUAUCUUUCAUGCCUAAUUUGAAUUUUAACAAUAAAU